GACCUAAAUCGAGGCAGGUCUUGUGUGUGGGCCAGCAGUUCUUCUCCCUCUGUUGAAAUAGAGGAAGGCGGCCGACGGCGCCCCCGUCUCGCUUGAACUCAUCCCCCGGCGAAUACAUCGGUUUGGUUGGGUUUGUGGGCGAGUUUGGCUAGGGAUCUGGUUUGCGAGAUGGAAAGAAUUGUGCACGUGCACUACGGUGGUAAUGUUGUGGAAGCUGAUAAGGGGGUGCUAAGUUUAGCCAUAGCAUGGAACUGAAAGUGGUAACAUUUAAAACUUGUCCAAUGUUGCUUGAGCUGGAAGGACGGGUGAAGGAUGUGCUUGGGUGGAAUGCAUAUGGUAUGAGGGUUCAGCUGCAAGGUAGAUAUGAUGUUGGUCAUGGAUAUAGUCACAAGGUUAUGAUGCAACUAGAGAGCCAGUAUGAGUAGGAGGCGUAUGUAGCUGCUGUCAGAGAGUCUGAGUGGAAGUGUCUUGAGGUGGUGGCUAUGAAGGAUGAUAGAUUUGUUUUAGAGGCUCAAUUUGAUCUGAACCAGCCCCUAGUAGUUGAGAAGAAUGGUGGGAGUUGUCGGGGUGAUGACGCAGCUAAGGCUAAGAAAAUGGCUAGUUCAAUCCAACCAACUAUUGGUGAUGGAAGCAGCCAACCCACAAAUCUUUGAAGACAAUGAUGCAAAGGUAUUGAAACAGCUGCUACUACAUAAUAGUACUACACAGGUCAUGGAUACAUGCUAGUGUCCAUGCCACUUCAUGGAUGGCCAGCUAAAAACGUAGAAAGAUGAGUUAGAGUCAAGUUCAAUCAGGGUUCACUAGAGAUAAUUCCUUAAUAUAGUAAAUGGAGCUUGAUAAACAAGCUAGUGUUUGUGCUAUCAAAUAAUUUAUGUCACCCAAAUCUUAUGUUGUAAUGUUUUGCUAUGUUGGCUCCCUAUCUAAUGUGUUUUUAUGUCA